ACAACCGAACCCAACACCGGGGCCCAACGGCAGGGGCUUGGGCAGGAGCAAGGUCCGAGGGCUGCCAGGUCCACGCUGCUUUUAUGAGCUGUAACACUCACCGCGAAGAUCUGCAGCUUCACUCCUGAGCCCAGCGAGACCACGAGCCCACCGGGAGGAACAAACAACUCCAGACGCGCUGCCUUAAGAGCUGUAACACUUGCCGUGAAGGUCUGCAGCUUCACUCCUGAGCCAGCGAGACCACGAACCCACCAGAAGGAAGAAACUCCGAACACAUCUCAACAUCAGAACGGACAGACUCCAGACGCACCACCUUAAGAGCUGUAACACUCACCGCGAGGUUCCGCGGCUUCAUUCUUGAACAAUGAAUCCUCCAAUGUACCUGACUCUCCCUUUGCGAAGAGCAUCUCCGUGGCAGAAAUCUGAAAAUGCCCCUGGGGAGACACAUGCACAAGACAGUGAGUGAUGCAGCCGUUUCCCACGUAUCUCACAAUGUACUUCUCUGGUCUUAUUAGAACUAAAUGAGUAUCUCAGUCCAUAAUCACAGGGAGAAGAACCACCACAGACCACAUACCUGGGGUCUUGAAAAUAAUUCCAUGCAUGUGGGACUUUCAGAAGCUCUCCAUGUCUGUCCAGAAGGGCCCCACAAUAUACUGGGGGGACUUUGUAUGUGGCUCAGCAUGGAGCAGGGGCAGGAUGUUCAUUCCCACUCAUCCCCUUGGCCAAGUGCCCUUGUGCAGUGAACAAACUGCACAACCAUGCUGGGCAGAAGCAUUUUAUAUCAGUCCCCUUCGGACUUAGUCUCACAGGCAUCAUUUGAUGGGGGGUGGGAGAUGAAGUGGUUCUUCCUUUUCUAGAUACUUUAUUCUAUAAGUUGGAUCACCUCAAGCAAAUGCCUGAGUGCAGCUAGCCAAGUUCUCUAUCUCACAGUCUUCAUACAGCUGGCUGUCGCUGAUGAGUGAGUGAGCUGCGAAAUCAGCUUAAACCACAACAUGUUAUUUUUGAAUUUGAAUAAAAUAGGAAAAGGCAGAGUGCAUUGUGUGACCAUGGGGUAAGACACUCUCCCUUUCUCCUUCUCAGUUUUCCUGUCAUAAAAGGACAAACUACUAUCUAA
ensembl:lncRNA novel transcript